rnacentral:rRNA from 2 species
AAAUUGAAGAGUUUGAUCAUGGCUCAGAUUGAACGCUGGCGGCAGGCCUAACACAUGCAAGUCGAACGGUAACAGGAAGCAGCUUGCUGCUUUGCUGACGAGUGGCGGACGGGUGAGUAAUGUCUGGGAAACUGCCUGAUGGAGGGGGAUAACUACUGGAAACGGUGGCUAAUACCGCAUAACGUCGCAAGACCAAAGAGGGGGACCUUCGGGCCUCUUGCCAUCAGAUGUGCCCAGAUGGGAUUAGCUAGUUGGUGAGGUAACGGCUCACCAAGGCGACGAUCCCUAGCUGGUCUGAGAGGAUGACCAGCCACACUGGAACUGAGACACGGUCCAGACUCCUACGGGAGGCAGCAGUGGGGAAUAUUGCACAAUGGGCGCAAGCCUGAUGCAGCCAUGCCGCGUGUAUGAAGAAGGCCUUCGGGUUGUAAAGUACUUUCAGCGGGGAGGAAGGUGUUGUGGUUAAUAACCGCAGCAAUUGACGUUACCCGCAGAAGAAGCACCGGCUAACUCCGUGCCAGCAGCCGCGGUAAUACGGAGGGUGCAAGCGUUAAUCGGAAUUACUGGGCGUAAAGCGCACGCAGGCGGUCUGUCAAGUCGGAUGUGAAAUCCCCGGGCUCAACCUGGGAACUGCAUUCGAAACUGGCAGGCUUGAGUCUUGUAGAGGGGGGUAGAAUUCCAGGUGUAGCGGUGAAAUGCGUAGAGAUCUGGAGGAAUACCGGUGGCGAAGGCGGCCCCCUGGACAAAGACUGACGCUCAGGUGCGAAAGCGUGGGGAGCAAACAGGAUUAGAUACCCUGGUAGUCCACGCCGUAAACGAUGUCUACUUGGAGGUUGUGCCCUUGAGGCGUGGCUUCCGGAGCUAACGCGUUAAGUAGACCGCCUGGGGAGUACGGCCGCAAGGUUAAAACUCAAAUGAAUUGACGGGGGCCCGCACAAGCGGUGGAGCAUGUGGUUUAAUUCGAUGCAACGCGAAGAACCUUACCUGGUCUUGACAUCCACAGAACUUUCCAGAGAUGGAUUGGUGCCUUCGGGAACUGUGAGACAGGUGCUGCAUGGCUGUCGUCAGCUCGUGUUGUGAAAUGUUGGGUUAAGUCCCGCAACGAGCGCAACCCUUAUCCUUUGUUGCCAGCGGUCCGGCCGGGAACUCAAAGGAGACUGCCAGUGAUAAACUGGAGGAAGGUGGGGAUGACGUCAAGUCAUCAUGGCCCUUACGACCAGGGCUACACACGUGCUACAAUGGCGCAUACAAAGAGAAGCGACCUCGCGAGAGCAAGCGGACCUCAUAAAGUGCGUCGUAGUCCGGAUUGGAGUCUGCAACUCGACUCCAUGAAGUCGGAAUCGCUAGUAAUCGUGGAUCAGAAUGCCACGGUGAAUACGUUCCCGGGCCUUGUACACACCGCCCGUCACACCAUGGGAGUGGGUUGCAAAAGAAGUAGGUAGCUUAACCUUCGGGAGGGCGCUUACCACUUUGUGAUUCAUGACUGGGGUGAAGUCGUAACAAGGUAACCGUAGGGGAACCUGCGGUUGGAUCACCUCCUUACCUGAAAGAA